rnacentral:piRNA from 1 species
UAGAUGCCGUGUCUUGGCCUCUC